AGUGAACGCUGGCGGCAGGCCUAACACAUGCAAGUCGAGCGGCAGCGGGUUCCCGCGAGGGGAUGCCGGCGAGCGGCGGACGGGUGAGGAACACAUCGGAAUCUGCCUGGUUGUGGGGGAUAACGUAGGGAAACUUACGCUAAUACCGCAUGCGACCCUGAGCCGACGGACUUGGGGUGAAAGUGAGGGACCUUCGGGCCUCACGCGACCAGAUGAGCCGAUGUCGGAUAGCUAGUUGGCGGGUAACGGCCCGCCAAGGCGACGAUCCGUAGCUGGUCUGAGAGGAUGAUCAGCCACACUGGGACUGAGACACGGCCCAGACUCCUACGGGAGGCAGCAGUGGGGAAUUGUUCGCAAUGGGCGCAAGCCUGACGACG
rnacentral:rRNA from 1 species